CAAAUGGUUGCUGGAAUGCCGGAAUAUUCGAGAAUAUUCUAGAAUUUCCGGGUGUGUGUGUGUGUGUGGCCUCCAUCAGCUCCCUCCACACACACCCCCACAGGAGAGAAAGGGGUACAGCUGUGGAAACUGGCACUGCUUCCCACAUUGCCUGGAGACUAAGCUUCUCUGCCCAUUACUGCACCUGGUUCCAGCCCAGGUCCUAAACUUGCGUCCCAAAGCCGUCCCUCUGCCCUCUGGCUAGCAGGACUCACCCUCUUCAGAAGAUUUUCUCCUCUGCGUGUACCCUGGCAACCCAUCACCGUGUGUCACCAGGUCAAAGGCAGCACUUUCUCUGGAUUUUGGUGAAUGAAAUUCUCUUUGUCCUACUACCCCAAUAAUAGAUGCCGACUGUAGUGCCAAGAAAGAGAGGCAUCGUGAGCCGGCUGAAUCCAGGGACCCAAAGGCUCCACCCAAUCCUGCCUCUGAGCUUUUGUGCUUGGAACCUGGCUGCCAUUUUUGAAACCCAACAUCUUUGUUAGAGAGCCAUGUGGAGAGAGAGGCCGUUUUCCUCUCCCUGGCGCACCCACUGAGCGGCAGGCGAUUCACACUUCUGCAGGUCCUCUUAGCCCAGCUGCCUCUCCUGACCUCUAACCUUAUAAUGACCACACCCCUUUACCUGUGAGCUUUGUUUUCUUCCCUAUAUAAAAUUAUAUCACAAAAAUUUUGUUCUCAGAGCCUAGAACUGUGCCUGGGACAUACAAUGUUCCAAGUAAAUACUUUUAGACUGGAUGGAUGGAUGGAUAGAUGGAUGGAUGGAUGGAUGGAUGGAUGGACGGAUGAAUGAAUCCCAGCCCUCUUGUUCCUUCAUCACCUUCACACUGUUUUGCUGCAAAAACAAACAUCUCUGCCACGCAUCUUUUUACAGAUACCUUCUCAAAUUUGGAGAAACUAAGCGUCCAUGGUGGAUAUGGUAACCGGCCCCUGUUCCCAUUCUCUGCUUCUUGUUUUCCCAUUUGGGAGAGAGGAAGCUCCCAUUGACGGCCAUCUGUCUU